CAGCUAAAAAGUGGUGCCAGGUAGAGUGUCAACAAGUACAAGUGUACAGACCCGGUCUGAGCGCUAGCCGAAUCUGACUCUAAGACUACCGUAUCUAGCAAACUAGUCAUCCAGAAAGAUCAUAAACCGAUCUGCUCAUCAACCGGCUAGUCAUCUUGAGCCAAUCAUGCGAGAAAUCCAGCCCGGUUUCAGGCCUCUUACUGCAAGCCAGCGUGUGACCAUCAGCAGCAUUGCCUGUGCAGUGGAAACUAGCUCGUCUUCCUAAAGUUUCUAACCUAAAGAGAUUGGUUGAUGGUUACCAUUUUAUAAGAAGAAAGGAAUUUUGAAGCUUCCUCGCUAGCCAAGGUUGCAGCAGUUAGCGGCGUCAGCUGGGUGGUCCAUGUUGACGCAACAGCUUCAAACGGCAGUUGCCAAGAUUAUACUGAUGCCCAGAUAGGCGCCAACCACAGCUCAUGCUGAACAAUUCCUAGAGGGGCGCGAACCACAGCUCGUGCUGAACGAUGCCUAGAGGGGCGCCAACCACAGCUCGUGCUGAACAAUUCCCAGAGGGGCGCCAACCACAGCUCGUGCUGAACGAUGCCUA